CAUAAAGCAAAAAACAGAGAUGGGGGGUGGGGAUGAAAGAAAUCAUAUAUUUCUUUUCUAGGGCAUAAAUGUUGCACGAAGCCCUGGGAUCUCUAGAUGUGGGUCCAGCUUUCCCCAGGCUGCUUUUCGGUUCCUCCUCCCCUUCCAUCUCCCCCGCAAACAACCUUGGAAACCUGGAGGGAAGGGGCACCAAUCAAAGGGCAGAGGAGGAAGGUGAAGGAGGAGUGGGUAUAUAGAGAGCAGGUAGCCGGCAGGGGGAGGGGGUUGCAUCUCCUCAUCUUCUCCACCUGCGCUCCGUGCUGGCAACCGAGAAGGUUCGCCCUGGAAGGAAUUACCAGCCAAUGGGUUGGGCAUUUGAAGUGGUGAAUGGAAUUUUACAAAGAGAGAUCAGCAUUGAUAAAGGCAUGGAGGCGUGAGUGAGCAGACAGUAUCCAACAACCAGUAGAGAAGCUCUGACCUUUCCAGGGAGAAGAUAAAAUACAGAGCUGGGUUGGAGGUGUGACUCAGUGGUAGAGUCCUGCCUAGGCCUCAGGUUCAAUCCAUAGUACCACAAAAAAAAGAAAACAAAAAAGAGGAAGGAAGGAAAAGAGUGUGCUCAGAAAGCUACCAAGAAGGGCCCGAUGCUGAACUUGCACAACUCUGCAGAACUGGAUCUCCUUACUGCAGCAGGCACCUGCUGGGACAUCCAAUUUUGCAAGAAAGGAUUCCAGUGCAAAGGUUCUGCAGAUACUGAUUGGCUCAGCAUGCGUUCCACCAGACCAGCGAGAUGAGAUGCAGCCUCUUGUCACUUCAGAUGGCAUGAGAAAGUGAGGCAUCAGAAAGGGAAUAAUCAGAGUGCAGCUUCCUAGACCUGGUAUGGUGAAAGGUCUUCUACAACCAGGGGCUUUCCUGCAUCUGCUGGAGGCUGCAGAAGUGACAACCCACCUGAAACCUAGAUUCUCUGGAGAACCAAAUUCAAUUUGAAUGUGUCUAUGCAUCCUAGAACCCCUAUUACUAAGGACAAAUCAUUAUGAUGGAAAUGAGGAGUAACAGUCUCCAAUUCUUUGAGAAAAUUCCAUUCUUUUCAUCUCUACUACUAAGAGAAGGAGCUGUGACUGAAAGACCUGUCGAACAAUUUCAAGGAGGAAAAGUUUGUUUGGAGGCUCAUGGUUUCAGAGGUCUUCAUCCAUAGAUGGCCGACUCUAUUCCUUGGGACCUAAGGUGAAGCAGCACAUCGGGGCAGAAGUGUGUGGCAGAAGAAAGCACUGGGGAUGUGGCACCAGGAAGGGACAGACAGAGCUCUGCUCAAGGAUGACAUGAUAUCAACCCCAAAGGCAACCCCCCCCCCCAGGAACCCACCUACAGUUGACACCCAGUUAGUCCUUAUCAGGGAUCAACACACUGAUUAAGUUAAGGCUCUCCUAACUCGAUCAUUUUACCUCUAAACUUUCUUGCAUUGUUUCACACAUGAGCUUCUGGGAGACACCUCACAUCUAAACCAUAACAAUGUCGAAAUCAAUAAUUUACCAGCUCAUUAUAUUACCAUCUUCUCUCUCGUUUAACACUGAGAUCCUGGAAGGACUUCUUUGUAGUGGGAUGGGUGAUCAACUUUUCUGUUCUUAACUUUUCCCCUUUUUAUUUUUCUUGAGGUCUACCAAACUUACAUAAAACGUACAAGAUUAAGUGGAUAGCUCAAAGAAUAUUCAUAGUAUAGUACAAUCAACAUCAGUGUAACCACCCAGCCAAAGAGGGAAAAUGUCAACAGCACCUUUGGAAGCCCCCCCAUCUUUCAGUCAAUAAUCACCUUCCCUGGGCCCUAGUGUGAUCACUGGCCUGACUUCUGUCACUACAAAUAUGUCUUGCCUAUUCCUAGACUGUAAGGGGAAAAGGAAUUAAAAAAAAAAAAUCUGUCCUCUUUUGUUCUACAUCAUAACUUAGAGUGUACCAUUCUAUUGUGUGAAUACACCAGCACUUCUUCAUCCCUUCUCUUGGCAGGGACAAAUAGGUAUUUCCUACUUUGGGGCUAUUGUGAAUAAGGCUGCUAGAAACACUCCUGUGAAUGUACAGGACAUGUGCACUCAUUUAUCUUGAAGCAUUAGAAUUACAGCAUCAUGGGCAUACAUACAUAUAUUUAGUUUUGGAAGAGACAGCACACAAUUUUCCAAAGUAGUUGUAAUCAUUUGCCCUCCCACUGGCAACGUACAAGAGUUUCAGUUGUUCUGUGUUCAUGCCAACCCUUGGCAUCGACUGUCUUCUUGCCUUUAGGUUUCAGUCUGUAUUUCCCUGGUGACUGAGGUCUUUUGCCAUUUGGAUAUCUUCUUUUAUGAAAAGUCUGUUCAAGCAUUUUGCUCAUUUUUAAUUGAGUUGUCUUUUUGUUUUACCAUUUCUUUGUAUAAUCUGGAAGUGAGUCCUUUGUUAGCUGUAUGUACGGUAAAUAUCCUAGUCUGAGGCUUUUCUGAGUAGUGUCUUUUGAUGAAUAAGAGUUUUUGAUGUUUAAUAAAGCAUAAUUUAUUAAUAUUUUUAUGGGGUUUUUUUGCAUGUCAUGUUUAAGAAAUCUUUACCUACUUCAAAUCUUGCAUCUUUUGACUCAGGAAGCUCAGAGCCAUUUAGCUUUUUUGUUUUUUGACGGAGUUAGAAGAUCCUGACAAUUAAGCUUUUGUUUUUCUCCUUCCUUUUCCAAGAGAGGAAAGAUGGGGAGAGAUAAGAAAAGAAAUAGAUUGGUCCCAAAGCAGUUGGAAGCUUAUGGCUACCCUGGGGGAACUGGAAGAAGGAAGUAAGGGAAGAGAAGAUGAUAACUAAGGACUCAUAAUUGGUGGCAGAAUUUUCUUGAAAGAAAAUAACAGCAACCAUCAAACUAGCCAGACCUACCUCAAGCCUUGUACCGAUAGGUCCCCACGCUUUUGGUGAAGACAGAAUUCAACACCCGACAACUGGCACAGUUUCCUGAUCAGAUUUAGAGCAGUAAAGCAAUGCACAAUGGGUAGAGGUGCAAAUGAAACUGAUGUCUUUCUUGCAGCAGGAUGGACUAAAAACAGAAGUGUCCAGUGCUUGCCUUGGAUAUGUCUAGGAUGUCGCUUCCUGGUUGCUUGGCCCCACCUGUCUCAAUUCAGUCACUGCUUUGGGGGAGCCAUUUCUGUGUGGGUUUUAAUUAGCCUCAGGUAAUUUGCAAGCCAAGAGCUUCACCUCAGUUCAGUGACUGUCUCUUAUCUCCAGGCUUCUUUGCUGACAGAGGCCGGGAUCUCAAGAAUCCACUUAGUACUAAUUCAUGCACAACCCUAAAGGGCUGGGGAUUUAAUCACCAAUGUUUGACACAUGGUGACUGGAAGCCAAUGGAUAAAUGCUUCCCCUUUUCUUUCCCCAUACAGAAGUUCCUGUACUGCAUUUUAUAGCUUCUCAGUCUUUCCAUGGAAUCCAGAAACCACUUUCCAUAAUGGAGGACUGCUCUCCUAUCCAUCUUUGUAUUGAUGUCACCUCCUUCCCUGCUCUACUUCACUUGGUCCCAUCCCUUCAUUUUGGCUCCUGGUUACCACUAUGGCCGUUAAAUUUUUGUCCCAAGCUCUGCUUCCUGGGAAACUCAGGCUAAGAUGACAUUGAAUAAGACUUCUGUUUGAUUUUACUUCAUCAGGUUUCAAAUGUGGGGCCCUUUUACUCCUUUACAAUUUCAAAGGAAGACUCACUCCUCUUUUCCUGGGAAGGUAUCACUAUGAAUUAAGUUUAAAUAUCUUCUAUACAAGUCAGCUAUAUGGGCCAUUUAUCCAAGAACAAAUAGCUUGGGGCUGGUGUUGUGGCUCAGUGGUAAAG